ensembl:lncRNA
CCCAGUACUGCUGGCAGUCACAGAGCCCUCCCCGCAGAAUGAAGGAGAUUCCAGCUGCAGGCACCAGGAGGCUGGUUCCUUGCACAACGCACUAAAACAGGUGAAUGGCAGCAGUGCAGGGCUUGAAAAAAGACACUAAGGAUGAGGUCAAACAGUGGAAAAACUCGAAUUUGCUCUUUGUUCUAGGCUGAGUGUUGCUGCAAUGAGUCUGCGUGUGUUAGAAGAGCUUUCCUCGUGCUGUGGGAGGUACUCUCAGCUGUUUCCUACCCUCCAGUGCAUGCUCAGAGAUCAGGUUGUGUCCCCUUGCACGUGCACGUGCUUCUCCCAGAACCAGAGCAAAACAAAAGCCCCUCAGCAGCGGAUCUCCGGCUGCUCAGCUCUCUGUCUGCCGAGCUGAGCACUGAACGGAGACGUUUCAAGAAGCUGGAAGAGCACGUAUUCCAACAAAAAGGACACAGUCUUAAAUGUAGACAUAUAUAGCAGACUCCUAACCCACCCUUGCAUUGCAGCCCCCUGAGCAGAGCAGCACGGUGCUGGCAGACCCCAGGCGUGCCCUGCAUGUGCCACGUCACACCGUAGCACGGUGCCCAGCCCGGCUCGAGGCCCUGCUGCUUCAGAGGGUGAUUGAGGAAAAAAACUGCCAUCUCCAGUACCAAGCUACUGUCAGGACCAUUCGAGAUCAUUCUGGGCUGAAUGGUGAAUCACCAUCGUCUGACAGUCUCAUGCUCACAGAAAGGCAUUUGCUGGCCGGCUGCUCCUGUGUAAACCAUCUAAACCUGUAAAUUUGCAAGCCACCUUCACACCUCCGCAAGGCUCAAUCCCAUAGAGGUCUCUCCAAAACGCUCUUUCAAAUGGGGCAUUUUUGACUGCAUAGGAAGCAACGCCAUCAGCACGUAAAGCAAAUGUUUUAUUGCCCAGACGUGCCUCCAAAAAUAUCUGUAGGUUGCACAACACUUCUUCACUGCUGCUGAUUUCCUCCUACGACGCACAGCAGAUGCCAAGAACUUUUGUAACCUCUGCCCC